UACGGAGGGUUCGAGCGUUGUCCGGAAUCACUGGGCGUAAAGGGCGCGUAGGUGGCGCGACAAGUCAACGGUGAAAGCCCGGGGCUCAACCCCGGGUCGGCCGUCGAUACUGUUGGGCUUGAGCACUGUAGAGGCAGAUGGAAUUCCGGGUGUAGCGGUGGAAUGCGUAGAGAUCCGGAAGAACACCGGUGGCGAAGGCGGUCUGCUGGGCAGUAGCUGACACUGAUGCGCGACAGCGUGGGGAGCAAACAGG
rnacentral:rRNA from 1 species